GCCACUUUCACCGGAGCAGAACACGGAGCUGCUUUCUCACUGGUGAGAGUUGCAAACAGCUGCACCCCAUUCCUCGGUCUCCAGGGAGAGGUCAGCCACGGGUGAGUUUUCCAGACGGAUAGGAUGAGCUGAGCCUCCUGGAAUGUGACCUCAGGCACCUGCACCGAAGGAAAGUUACGCCAAGCCCAGCACACUGGCCCAGCGCUCCCGAGGGCUCAGGAGACCCCAAGACUCUUGCCUGGCAGCAGUCUUAUGGGUGAGGGAUAAGGUCAAAUCCAAUUACCUCAAGCUGAACUGCCCCCGUGAGGAGGCCCCCCGCUCAAGCUCUGUUCCAUCUGGAAUGUCCACAGCUGACAAAAGACCUGGCUGCACCUGUGUUUAUGUGGCAAGUCACAGAAAGUCGAGAGGGCUGCGCUAAGUGCAACUGCACACCCAUUUGACCACUUGAAAGCGGUAAAAAUGAGCCAAAACAUGAACUCCAGGUCUUACCCCGGCACGGAAAACACACCACAGCUCCAAAUGAAGGACCCCCUGGGCCCACACACGGCAGCCUUGGAAGACAGACCCGGAAACGCCACCUUCUAGAAAGAGCCCCAGCAAACCUUGUUGCAAAGGCUUCCCUACCACAGCUCUCUCUAACUCACGUCAGUCUGCUAACCACAAUCUCAUUACAGUAAAACGCCUUUAAGACAAAGAGUGGUCAUCAGGAUUUAAAACACCUCUCCCUCCACCCCCAAACUCCUCAGCUCUGUUUCUAGUCAAGACUUCCCGGGACACCGCUGAGGUGUAGCUGGACUUCCUCAGGUCUUACAACUGGAGUCACAUGGUACGUGAACCCUACGCCUGCAUCUUUUCACUCAUGCCAGUGCCUUCUGGUUCUAAGUAUUUCGUUACAUGGCUGUGUUCGCCUUCAUCCAUCUCCCUGGGUGUUGGGGACUGUUUUCAGUUUGAGGCUGUUAUACAUAGAAAGGCUGUAAACAACAGCACCCAAGCCUGGUUUCAUCUCUCUUGUAUAAAUAUCCAGAAGUAGAAUCACUAAAUUGGUAAGGAUAUAACAUUACCAGAAGCUAUCAAAAUCCUUUCCCAAGUGGCUUCACUGUGUCGCCUUCUCCCUGUAAGGGGAGUAUCCACAUCUCAUCGGCUGGUUAGUGUGGGGUUGGAGGAUAUUGAGUCUUUUAAGUGAUUCUAGUGUGCACUCUGUAUAUUUUCAUCUCCUUAAUAAUUGAUGGUGUCAAACAUCUCUUCACUGUACAGAUAUCUGUUCAUAGGUUAAGCUGGGCUCCUUUAUUUUCUUGUCAAGGGGGCCAUAUAGUUUUCUAUAUACUCUUGAUGCAAGUCUCUUAUCAGAUGUACACUGGAAAAAUAUUUUUCUCCCAGUUUGUGGACCAUCUUUUCAUCUUUUGGCCCUGCGUUUCCAGCAGCACUCGUAUUUAAUUAAUGAAAUCUACUUCCCCUACCUUUUCCUAUAUGUCUUUUAUAUCUGAAGAAAGCUAUGGCUUGCACGGGGUCACAAAGAUUUUUCUCUUCAUUCUUUUCUGGGUGUAUAGCUUUAGGUUUUACAUUUAGGGACGAUAUGUGGUAAAGAAAGACACACUGAGCUGACUACUGCAGCAUUACAGUCAGUCUCGAAUAAGCUCUCGAUGUUUGUUUUUUAAGAUUGCUGGUAUAACAGGUUAAUGUUGGUUGUCCAGUAGAUUGGGUUAAGAAGGAGAUCAAUAAAGCAUAUGUCUUCUGGGACAGUCUGUGGCAAUUUUCAGAAGGAAUUAACCUAGGGUAAGACAGUCCUCAAAUGUAGAGGCCAUCACAUAGGCAAGAAACCCAAAUGAGAACAAAGGGGAAGAGAGAGAGCCUGUGUAUACAGACAUUCUCCCUCACCCUGAGCUGCUCUAAGUUGUAGAACUUGGCUCCACCAUGCCCCUUGGCCAAAAUGAACUGAAACUAUGAGCCAAAAUAAAUCUAUACUUCCUUUUUAUUGUUUCUGUCAGACAUUUGGCCACAGUGUCAAAAGUCUGAUUAAUAUUGUAAAUUCAAGAUCUUUUGUCUUUACAAAAGAGUUUGGUAAUUGACUUGUCAAUUUCUACAUAAAAGAUAAUUAGGAUUUUAAUUUGAGUUAUGUUGACUCUUGAUCAACUUGAUUUGAGCACUGUGAUGAUUAAGCUUAGCUGUCAACUUGAUGAGAUCUAGAAUCACCUAGGAGACUCAUCCCUGGGCAUUUCUGUGAGGGCAUUUCUAGAGGCUACCCUGGUGGAAGUAGGCUUACCCUUAAGGCGGGCAGCAUCUUCCAACAGGUAUCCAAGACACAGGAUUACAAGGAAGGUUAGUGAGCAUGUGUGUCUGUGUGUGUACACAUGUGCGCAUGUGUGUGCAUGCACUGGCAAUCUUCCUCCUCUUCCAAAAUGACAGAGCAUGUCUAUCACCAUUCCUUUGACUACUCUGACAUCAGACUCCAAGAAGUCUAUUCAUGUCAUACUCCAGCAAAGUACUGGUUAUGUACUGCAUAUGUGAAGGAAAACAAAAAACAAAAAACACUUGAAUAAAGCUGAGUUCUAAAG
rnacentral:lncRNA from 1 species